UUAGCUCUGUUUUGUAUGGAGUUGGAACGUUUGCCUACGUUUGCCGCUAGGGGCACUGUCCCAACUGCAUACAAACGUGAGUUA
rfam:Bombyx mori DNA, contig: Bm_scaf15_contig11486, strain: p50T/Dazao, build 2, whole genome shotgun sequence.